AAAAUCUGACAGGGUUAAAUUGUCUAUCAGGUCAAGAUCUAUCUGCCCUGAUAUUUUCAGACAAAACAGACACCCUGUUGUUGGGUUGCUGCCCCAGAAUUAGUAAUUUUAAGGAAAUUUUGCAGUUUUUGGUUAUUAUCUUGAAUAUUAUAAUAGAUAGAGAUAAACUGUAAACAGCAAUAAUGUUCAGCAAAGUAAGAUCUACAAAUAAGUCAAAUAACCAAAAUUGUCAAUUGACCCCUUAAGGAGUUAUUGCCCUUUAUAGUCAAUUUUUAGCAUUUUUCAUAAAUUUUUGUAAAUUUUUAGAAAAUAUUUUCCACUGUAAUUACUGGGCCAAGUUCAUUAUAGAUAGAGAUAAUUGUAGCAACAAGAAUGUUCAGUAAAGUAAGAUCUACAAACACAUCACCAUCACCAAAAC
rnacentral:lncRNA from 1 species